AUACAGUUGACGGGUCCGAAAUAGGAUGAAACGUGCGUCCUGGAU
rfam:Schistosoma mansoni strain Puerto Rico chromosome 1, complete genome